rnacentral:lncRNA from 1 species
CUCCAGAGUUCCACGCCUCCACCAGACCACCACCCAUUUGUCCCCGACCCCGACCGCUGCUGCACAUCAUCCUCCCGCCGCUCGGCGUCUUCCUCCGAUUCGGCUGCUGCAGAGAGCAGACUAUUCAAUCCGUAACAGUGGUGCUACAAGAGAAUGGGAUGUACCUGUAUUCCUGAACCCUGAGAGCAAUUAAUCCUGAGAGCAAUUAACCGGUCUCCGUUCGCAGCCCCCUCCACUUCCUCUGCAGCUCCGGUGAUAUGGGCAGUGGAUUCGGGUGCCGCCAGAUCUUGCGCCUCAUCCCGUGAUCUGGAGGCGGCACGUCUUCAUGUCGAUGAUGAUAGCCCAGCGUGCAGCCAGCCAAAUAUGUUAUCAGAAUGAUUCUGUUUCCCGGUGCUGAUUGCUCGUGCACAUGUGCAUGCAGCCCAGCGAUUCGGAUAGAUCGCGAGCACCUGUGUAGACUGUUUGCAGCGGAUGCUGCUCUGGAACUGGAAGCUUUGUUUAAUGACACCUUCGGAUUGCAAGGACCUGCACCCUUACCUGCCCA